rnacentral:rRNA from 1 species
UCAAAUCAGCACGGCCCUUACGUCCGGGGCUACACACGUGUUACAAUGGGGGGUACAGAAGGCCGCUACCUGGCGACAGGAUGCUAAUCCCAAAAACCUCUCUCAGUUCGGAUCGAAGUCUGCAACCCGACUUCGUGAAGCUGGAUUCGCUAGUAAUCGCGCAUCAGCCAUGGCGCGGUGAAUACGUUCCCGGGCCUUGUACACACCGCCCGUCAAGCCAUGAAAGCCGGGGGUACCUGAAGUACGUAACCGCAAGGAGCGUCCUAGGGUAAAACUGGUAAUUGGGGCUAAGUCGUAACAAGGUA